GGGGACCUUUUUGCUUUGCUCUGUGUUUAAAUCUGGAGUAUUUUGCACUGCACAACUGUUUGAACCCCCAGGCAUGCUGCAAUGAGAAAAGGAUGAAAUAGAGGAAGGCAGCGGAGAAGUAACAGAAAUUCAGCAGUAAAGUAGCAGAUGGGUUCCAGCAGAGUUCUGCUUUGAUUUAUGUCCAGCCAAGCACAUCAGGCCCAGGUUUGGGGCCCGGAGGAGUCCAAACCAGAAGCUGUCUGAGGAGCUCCUCACCAAGAGAGGAGCAGCUGAAUCACCAGGCAAGUUUUGGCAGCACUGGACAAAGGGAGGGAGGGGGCACGACAUCCUUUAGUAGCAGCCUGGGGGAUGAUAACCUCGCUCACCAUCGGCAUUGCACCAACAGAGCCACAAGUGAGCACUCCCUGCGCACCCACGCUGCUGAGGGAAAGAAACCUUUCACCCAAGCACCGCCACUGUUCAACAGAUGUGGUUCCCGCUCCAAAGUCAAAAAAAACACCCUUCAGUCCUCAUAACGUGACAGGAAAAAGACCCCUCACAGGCAAGAUGGGUGUUUGUUUUAGCUAGAGUGCUUCCCCUCAGUCUUGGCUGAUGCAGAUGGAGCCGCAGUGGUGACUGGCACCUGCAGGGAACUUCUGCCCUGGAAGAAGGGAAAAGGUUGUUUUCAUGGAAUGCAUCCCACAUCCCAGACUGAUCUUGUCAGUAACAUGCUGAAUGGCUCAAGGGAAUCAGAUAGAUCUUAGAACCCUUUUUUUUUUUUUUUUUUAAGUGUAAAUGUUUGCCUAUUAUUAAAAAAGCAGAGUUAAAUAUUUUCAACCACCUGUAAUGGUUUGGUAGCCAUCCAUGAACUUCCCCCUCAUUCCUAGAUUAAAAACUAAAAGCAGACCCAAAAGAUAGCUUUUGCUGCAGUAGGAUACUCUGAGCACUUACUUUCCUGGCCCACAGUAACCUCAGUCUGGGAAGGGGCUGCUGAUAUCCUUUGUAUAAGGAGUCAAGUCUCAGGCAGAAAGAAAAAUAAUGGUGGCUUGGGCCCCCAAAAUUAUUGUGCUAUUUCCUGUUCCAGUGGUAGAAAGUACCUCUAGAGAGGCAAGAAGCAAAAAAUAUGUUUCUUACAGAGCAGAGUACACUCUUUUUGUAUUAAAAUAGAGUCCUAUCACUCAUCAACUUUCAAUUUGACCCAAAGCACAGUUUGAUUUUCAAUUUCUUCCUGUGUCUUCCAUCGCCAUAUCUCUGGUUGUUCAUACUGAAUUAGCUCUUGAAUGCUAAUGUACUCAGGGUGACAUUUUAAUGACAAUCGGAUACACUGCAUCAUAUCGGGUUGAAAGUACCCCACCAGCCCUGGUGCCUCUAGAUGAAACAGAGCCAGAAAGGACUUUUCCAAGCCUCAUCUUGAGUCCUCUACGCUUUGCAACUAAAGACAGCUCAUAAAUGAAGAUUGGGCCUUGGCAACUCUCCGUUCAUUAUUGACAAAUUAAGAGCUUCAUAAUUCCACCUCUUCUUUUGUUCUUUGUGCACAGACACACACAUACACACUUGGUGACUUGCGGUUUUUUCAUCUUGACAAAUCCUUCCUCCGGCUUCCCUCAGUUUUCAACAGCACAACAGGGAGUCAAUCAGGAAAGCUUUACAAGGCCGAUAAAACGGAUUUGUUUAACUGGUUUCCAGUUCAGUCCAGAGUAUUGUGAGGAAAUACACAAAGGCAGUGGGAAAUAAUUAUCUUUCUUCUGCAAGACCUCUUGGCCACCAUUAUCAAGUACAAAUGUGCAUAAAAUGUGGGCAUUUUCAAAUGUGUGCACCAACCUGGGUGCUUCAGAGAUCACAGCUGCUCCCUGAAGGUCACAAGGUAGGGAUGGACUCAUUCAGAUGAAACUGAAGUUUCGUCAUGCUUUCAUACCUGUAAUUAAUUUACCAGAAAGCAGUAAGCAUUGUCUUUAUAAAUGGAUUCUGAAGACCUGUAUCAGCUGUGGUUUGCAGCAACAUUUUGGGUCUCGAGGCCACCACCUGUGACCAGUCUGCAGCUGAAACCAUCCUGAUUACACAAACUGUACCAGCGGGGUAGGAGAUAAGUGCGAGCAAAGCAGGAGAACAUCAAGAAGGACUUCUAACCCAGUGCCCCACUGCUCAGGAAGGCUCUCUCAGGCUGACAGGGCUCAGCUGUCUCCCAUUUCAAAGCAAGCUGGGCUGGCACUACUUCAGAGGUCUCCUUCUGCCAUUGUGCAGCACAGACAGGACUGUCCUGCAUGGCCAUCUGAGGGAAGGGGUUGUUUUAUUUAUCAGAUGGGAGGAAAAAAUAAAGUUACUGAAUUGUUUUUCAUUUGGGGUGAAGAGGAAGAAAAGAGCUCUCUUAUUUUUAAUAUCCAAAGUGCAUUCAGAGUGAUUUGCUUUCAAAGGGAGAAAAGGAAGUGUGGAAGCUGAGCUUCUACCACGACUGAGAGUUUCUCACACAUGCACGGAGAUUUUUGGUCAAAAAUCAAGUUCCUCAUGAAUCAAAACCAGAAUUCAACUGUGUACACAAAACAGCCCCAGGAGACCAGGGCUGAGCCAGGUUCUCAAAGCUGAUCUCUGCACGCAGGAGCACAAGGGUGGGGGCAGGAGGGUCUCUGGGGCACGUUCCCUGUGGGACAGGCUACGGGGCCUUCUAUUCACAGAAAAGGGGACCAAGCAUGACAGCUUGAGAGGCUGUUCCUGGGAGAUGAGGACAGCCAUCAUGAGGGCAUGUUCCUGUGAGACAGGAGAUGCUGGCUCAAAGCAGCCUGGUUAAAUGAGGCGAGUAAUGCAGAGGGGUCAUCCACAUCCCACUGAGUGCCAUCACCUGGUCGCAAGGGCAAGGGAAGGAUCGCCUCCUCCAUUUUUUCAAUCCAGCCCUUCAUUGCUAUGGCUUCUCUCACCACUCAAUGAGGCACUGUGUUUCAGGAAGAAAACAAAAUAUUUGUUUGACCCAAAAUGAACUUCAGGGCUUGAAAUUCACCAAUAAGCCAUGACAAAAAAUGUGUUUUUUCAGUCAGUCCCUCCAAUUUAUUUUCACAUUUAUGUGUUGACAGCCAAACAAAAAAAUAAGUAUUCACAUAAUGACAUGCUGUCUUCCACUUGUUUUUCACAUGAAUGGGGUUACAUAUUUCAAUCCCUGGUCCUAAAAACUUUUCCAGAUUUUAUUUUAAAAUUAAAUAGAAAUGCUUGAGAGAAGAGUUAAGAUUACAGUAAACAUGGAUAAGUUUUACUUAGCAACUCUGUGCCUUGGAGAGGACUUAAUGCUAUUUAUUUUAUUUAUCUGCUACACUUAGCUGGAUAGAUUCCACAUUCCAUUACAGUUUAGAAGUGAUGUAUUUCAUCCCGUAACAACAAUUCCCAGUUAACUGUUACAAUCAAAUAUUCUUGUUUAAAGCCAAGCGUAUACCAAAAAUCAUAAUGCAAAGCUCAUUUCCUUAAGAAUCAACGUAGUUUUAUUCUGAGUUUCCAUAAAAAGAAAAAUAUUACUUUAAAAUACAAACUUUUAGAUACAGUGGAAAGCGAAUUCCAUUCAGAUGAUGUAAUUAACCCCCAGUAUAAAUAAUGUGUGGUGUAUAUUGUAAUAUGAUAAUGUGAAAGUCCAAAAGGACUCAUUCCCAGACCACAUCAGAAAAUCUACUGAGUCAACAACUGUAGCAGACAAUAACAGCACGAGUUAAAGAGCAGAGCUUUAAAGCAGGUUAGUCCAAACUGUGCAGCAUCGAAAGCGCCACUGACAAGAUUAAAUAUGACCACUCACACUCUGGUGUUAUGUGAACUCACUCAGAAAAGACUUGAUAUGUAAGACCUGUCUGUGAAGCAACAACUCGUUCCACUUGCCAUGCUGAACUGCCGGACGUGGAUGUACAUUCCUAUCUCUGUUUUGCAUUAUUGCCACCAAUUUUAGAAUAAUUUAAAAGGAAGAUGACUUUUUUUAACCCGUUUUCUUAAAUUUUGCUUAAAUUACAUUAAGAAAACAUAUCUGAAGCUCACUUUCUUGCAUAGAGAUUCUCUGGGAUGUGGCUACAGAGAAGAUGUAAGGAGCUGAAAUGAAAAGGUAUUAUUGUAGCAAUAAAGAUGUUGUUUCAACUGU